UACGUAGGGGGCUAGCGUUGUCUGGAUUUAUUGGGCGUAAAGAGCGUGUAGGCGGCCAGGUAGGUCUGCUGUGAAAACUCGAGGCUCAACCUCGAGAUGUCGGCGGAAACCAUCUGGCUAGAGUCCGGAAGAGGAAAGUGGAAUUCCUGGUGUAGCGGUGAAAUGCGCAGAUAUCAGGAAGAACACCCGUGGCGAAGGCGGCUUUCUGGGACGGUACUGACGCUGAGACGCGAAAGCGUGGGGAGCGAACAGG
rnacentral:rRNA from 1 species